GCAUUGGGCCACACCACCCAGAAUGCGCCAGAACUGCGCUGAUUUGGGAGGCUAAGCAGGGUUGGGCUUGGCUAGCACUUAAAUAGUAGACCACCUGGGAACACCAGGUGCUGUAGGCU
ensembl:rRNA 5S_rRNA 5S ribosomal RNA